CACCCAAAGCUGCCAAAGGGAAAUUAAAGCCAAUUGCUGUGGUGGUUUUGGAUGGAUGGGGUGAGGCCAACGCUGAUCAAUACAACUGUAUCCACACUGCUGAAACUCCAACCAUUAAUUCCCUCAAAAAGGGUGUAUGUGUUUGCUUGAUUCACUUGCUGCUCAUGUAUUGUUAUGAUUCCUAGGUUUUUGUUACCUUGUCAUUAGUAGGGUGCACCUGAAAGGUGGAGAUUGGUGAGGGCUCAUGGUACUGCUGUGGGACUUCCUACAGAGAAUGACAUGGGCAAUAGUGAAGUCGAUCACUUU